CCCACUCUCAUUAGCUACGGAUAGAAUAAUGGAGUAGUUACAGUUUCUGAAUACAAAUAUUAAGUAUUAGGAAUCAGAGGCAAAAUAUAUAUAAGCUCCAUUGCAUAUACAUGUGUUUUUCUUUUAUAAAUGUCUAGGAAGAAUGUAUCUACUUCUUUAUAUCAUCAUUUUGCAGCAAGAUUAGUCCCUGAUAAUUGGGUGGAGCAUACUUUUGUUUACUAGUUAAUCAGAUUGGUUUUUUUUUUUUUUUUUUUUUUUUUUUUUUUUAAUCAGUUUGGAGGCUGGAAGGGAGUAUAGGGUAUGCAUAACGUCAAAAUCUUCGGUGAAAAAAAAAGUCCCAGCUGAUAAUUAGUGAACAACCUUACCUUUCAGAGUUUAGUUCUUUGUGUGAUAAUUUGAAUCUUCACUUAGCCUCACCCUUUUAUUUGCUUGCAGAGUACAGAUCGACGAGGACUUGAAUACAAGAUCCAUGUUAUACUCAUUUGCCAACAUGCCAAGAUGAUCUCUUACUGUAAAUGGCAGCACUACAUCCAGCUUGAAAAGUUCAUUCUCUGUCCUAGACCUCGCGACAACUUUUAUGGCUAUUACAGCAAACUCUUUUGGUCUGUCUUCAGUAUGUGUGUUGGUGUAUCCGCUUAAAUAUUCUUCCUUUUUACAGUACUAUUCUCACUAUAUUGGUUUGCCAAGUGAAAUAAUCUAUGACAGUACUAUUCUCACUAUAUUGGUUUGCCAAGUGAAAUAAUCUAUGGCUACUUUCAUAUUUAUUACAGUACCACUAUGCUCAAAUUUAUCACUCAAUCAGCAACUUCUUUGUCUCUUGAUUUUGCUAGGAGAUUGAUUUUACGGCUCAACCUGGAAAAGUUUGUGCUACUUAUCUGUUAAAUUUUCUAAGUUUCAUAACCCUUAUGUAGAAAAUGCAAAAACGAAGCAAUAAUCACAGUAACAAUUAAGUCAAACUAUUAUGUCUGGAAACAUGUACGGUAAAUGAACAGGAUAAUAAUAUACGAGGAAUUUUAUUACAUAAAUUGCUUGGAUACGUUAUUAUGUGUGGUUUUAAUAAACUAAUAAAAGGCAAUGGUCACUAGCUCAUGUCCAUGUCGGACACAUUGUUUGGAUAAGAUAGUACAUGUAGUCUUAGUAAACAAAGUAGCUUAGUAAAAGUCAAUAGUCACCAGCUUACGUCCAUGUUAGACACAUGUGGAUACAAAACAUGAGAAAAAUAUAUUUUAUGAAGUACUGCCUCCGUCCCUAAAUGGGAGGAACUGGGGCUCCCUUUUUUUUUUUUCUGUGUGUGUAAGAGACUAAUAAUAAUUAUUAUUUCAGUGUGCCUUUACAGAAAAAUUCAUUUGUGAUGACGCAUCAAUCAGAUAUUUCAUAUGUUAUAUGAAGUGAAGCUUUUACAAUGGGAGGGAAAAUGACAAUUUGUUGCAGGUUGUUAUUGUGAUAAAAUUAAUCCAAAGAGAAUGAGUUGGAGAUGCGCACUGCAGUGCCUCAAACUACAGAUUCUCUUAUAAGCUCAAAUCCCUUGGGCUUAUGUAAGUCCAGUGAACAUGUAUGUUUACUUGAAUUUGGUUUCAUUAGUACUUUAUGUUGACUCUGGUUUUGUGGCUAAUGCUACAUUCUAAUAGUCAUCUCUGCAGUACAGAAGUCAUAGCAUCUGGCCCUUAGGCUUUAGCUUAACUUGUCUUUGCCGGAUAAGUUCUAUGUUGUUGAUGUUGAUUUUUUUUUUCCCCCUUUUGGGUGAAUGAGUUAGGUGAGGGGAGGUCUACAUACCUGACUGAUUGGAUGGUGGUAUUGGUCGCAAUUCAUACCUGACUGAUUGGAUGUCUAGAUAUUUAGAUACAUAGUUCAUCAUCAAUCAAAUUUGACUGAGUUUUAGAUUAAACCUUCCUUGGAAUUUAACCAAUGGAACUAAGAAUAUUACAUGAAACAUAUGUAUAUGCAUAAGCAUUACAUUUCCAUUUGCUCUCUGGUGUAUGUAUGAUUCUAAUUAUUUUAUGGUUGUGCAGAAACAAUGUUGGUAAUAGUUAUUUGGCAUUGAAUUUUGAGCAACAUUGUGAAGCCAUGAUGAUUUUGAGCUGCAAAGUGAUGAUAAAAAGUUUGUGACGACCUUGGGAAGAAUCUCUUGCUUUCUUACAUCUCUCAUAGAGGAGAUAUACUUAGGUGAUCACAGAUUUUAAAUCUUAACCUUGGCCUUAUGUCGUUUUGCAAUCCAAGUUACUAGAUUUACAUAUUUCUUCCUUUUCAAUGUCUUGUAAUGAAUUGCUUUACAACCCUUAAUAAAGGGGAGAAAAAUAGAGGGGGAUAUUGACUUGAAAAUAUCUGCCCUCUUGUAUUUCAGAGAAACUCCCUAGCUAAUUGGUGUUGAAUGCUGUUCAGUUUUGAAUCAAACCAGGGGUGCCUGUAAACUUGACUGAUAGUCUGCUUUGGCAUUGGUCGAAGUAUAUAUUGCCUUAAGUAUUCUCUAUUUUAUAAAUUUAUUAACAAUCAGUAGCCCUAUAAUUUAAGCCCGAAAGGAUUUCUAUUAUUUCAAUUUUCAAACAUGCUAAAUGAAUGCAUUUCUAUUACUUCAAUUUUCAAACAUGCUAAAUGAAUGGCUCUUAAGAGUUUAAUUAAUCAUCGAAUUUGAAGGGGAACCUUGCAGAUUAUAGCAUCACAAUAAGCUAUCUCUAUCUGUUUUCUUUCUCUAUUUGUAAUUUAUUAGUAACUUUUAUUUGUUAGCC